GCCUGGUAUGGCAACUGCUCCGCCCACAACCAUAAGGCUCUCCAGAGGGUAGUGAGGUCUGCACAACGCAUCACCGGGGGCAAACUACCUGCCCUCCAGGACACCUACACCACCCGAUGUCACAGGAAGGCCAUAAAGAUCAUCAAGGACAACAACCACCCGAGCCACUGCCUGUUCACCCCGUUAUCAUCCAGAAGGCGAGGCGUAACUCCUGGACCCUCUACAUCAGUCCUAGUAGGAGUGGUUGUGGGCCUGGUUGUUGCUGGUGUUCUACUGGCCAUUCUCCUGGUACUGCUGUGUCCAUAUAAAAAUGCCAAAGAUUCAUGUUGCAACAUAAUGUUCUCG
ensembl:lncRNA